rnacentral:rRNA from 1 species
GAACGAGGAUAUACCCUUCGGGGUAUAAACCGAGUGGCGCAAGGGUGAGUAAUGCAUAGAUUACCUGCCUCCGGGAUAAGGACAACUUUGUGAAAACGAAGCUAAUACUUAAUAAUACAAAAGAAAAUUAUUUUCUUUUGUCAAAGGGAGGGUAGCAAUACCUUUUGCCUGGAGAGGGGUUUAUGUCCUAUCAGCUUGUUGGUGGGGUAAUGGCCUACCAAGGCGAAGACGGGUAGCCGGUCUUAGAGGAUGGUCGGCCACACUGGGACUGAGACACUGCCCAGACUUCUACGGAAGGCUGCAGUCGAGAAUCUUUCGCAAUGCCCGAAAGGGUGACGAAGCGACGCCGCGUGGGUGAGGAAGGCCUUCGGGUUGUAAAGCCCUGUCAGGAGUUAAGAAAUAUAAGUGCGUUAAUACCGCAUUUAUUUGACGAAGGCUCCAAAGGAAGCCACGGCUAACUCUGUGCCAGCAGCCGCGGUAAUACAGAGGUGGCAAGCGUUGUUCGGAAUUAUUGGGCGUAAAGAGCACGUAGGUGGGUUUGUAAGUCAGGUGUGAAAGCCUUCUGUUCAACGGAAGAAUUGCAUCUGAAACUGCGAGUCUUGAGUGUAGGAGGGGAGAAUGGAACUUCUGGUGGAGCGGUGAAAUGCGUAGAUAUCAGAAGGAACGCCGGCGGCGAAAGCGAUUCUCUGGCCUAUUACUGACACUCAGUGUGCGAAAGCUAGGGGAGCAAACGGGAUUAGAUACCCCGGUAGUCCUAGCCGUAAACGAU